rnacentral:rRNA from 1 species
GAUGAACGCUGGCGGCGUGCCUAAUACAUGCAAGUCGAGCGAACGGACGAGAAGCUUGCUUCUCUGAUGUUAGCGGCGGACGGGUGAGUAACACGUGGAUAACCUACCUAUAAGACUGGGAUAACUUCGGGAAACCGGAGCUAAUACCGGAUAAUAUUUUGAACCGCAUGGUUCAAAAGUGAAAGACGGUCUUGCUGUCACUUAUAGAUGGAUCCGCGCUGCAUUAGCUAGUUGGUAAGGUAACGGCUUACCAAGGCAACGAUGCAUAGCCGACCUGAGAGGGUGAUCGGCCACACUGGAACUGAGACACGGUCCAGACUCCUACGGGAGGCAGCAGUAGGGAAUCUUCCGCAAUGGGCGAAAGCCUGACGGAGCAACGCCGCGUGAGUGAUGAAGGUCUUCGGAUCGUAAAACUCUGUUAUUAGGGAAGAACAUAUGUGUAAGUAACUGUGCACAUCUUGACGGUACCUAAUCAGAAAGUCACGGCUAACUACG